GUAAGGAACCCGAGCUCUUCUGGAUUCAGAAGCAGCCUCAGUGAGGCGCUUGCUGCGUGGAGCUUUCCAUCAUUCGGCUCUGAGAGGAAGUGCAGGCAGGCGCCCUCCCCUGCCCCCACCGUCUGCCUUCCUGCCUCCCUCCACCUCUCUUCUCCGACCCCGACCGUGCUUCCCAGACCCUUUGUUCUCCAGCUCCGGGCGGGCUUGUCCUCCCCUCUUCCCAUGUCGCCGCCUCUCGGGUCUCCAGGAAGUGGAAGGGUAAAGACUGACGCCAGGGGCUAGAGAAACCAUGUCUACUUCUCGGCGCUGAGAAGUCCCAGGGACCCUUUUGGGUCCGAACCCCGACAUCCUCGGACCUUGGGCGCAGGGUCCCGGCAGCGAGGCACCGCGCGGCCUGGUAGAGAGGACCCAAGGUCCCCAGUGGGGAUAAUGGGACAGUGUUAUUUCGCGCUCCGUAGAGUCUGAUUGCAAACGAAAGCUCUCCCCACACCACCCUCGGCGGUGCCACCCGCAUCGCCUCUCUGCCGCGCGUGACCCCAAGGGCUUGGGCGAUUGUGUCUCCCUGAGUACAGUUACAAUUGUGUUCAGCUUAAUUUCUUACUUGGAUGAAGGCGUCGCACCGAGUAAAGCGCGGGGAGCAGGAUGUGGGGGAGGGGAUUUAGAGCGGGAAACUGCUGGGAAUGGAAGAACAACUGCACAGUAAAAGGCUGCUACGGGUCCCGGGUCCGAGGUGACCAAGUAGCACUGCUUAUCCAGGCUCAGGGUCUGGGCCCAGCAGCCACAGCGCGCGGCAUCGGCCCAGUGCACGAAUCUCCGCAGAGUGCCAUACACACUCCCUGCACUACAGCACGUUUGCGCUGGGCCGGGUGUGGGGGAAGGGCUCCUUACGAGCAGGGUGUCACCAAGUAGGUGCUGCUGCUGGAGUAGCGGCGCGGCCUAUGGUGGCUGUCAGCUCCAGGCUUCCUAGAGCCCCCUCCCGCCUCUUAGCUUGACCCAGGUCCUCACUGGCUGGUCUGAAGGCGCGCUAGCAGUUCUCUCCGCAGCGGGUUCCGGGGGACACACCCCGUCCC
rnacentral:lncRNA from 1 species